UACGGGAGGCAGCAGGGGGGAAUUUUCCGCAAUGGGCGAAAGCCUGACGGAGCAAUACCGCGUGGGGGAGGAAGGCUCUUGGGUUGUAAACCUCUUUUCUCAGGGAAGAACACAAUGACGGUACCUGAGGAAUCAGCAUCGGCUAACUCCGUGCCAGCAGCCGCGGUAAUACGGAGGAUGCAAGCGUUAUCCGGAAUGAUUGGGCGUAAAGCGUCCGCAGGUGGCAGUGUAAGUCUGCUGUCAAAGGUCAGGGCUCAACCCUGAACAGGCAGUGGAAACUACACAGCUAGAGUGCGGUGGGGGCAGAGGGAAUUCCCAGUGUAGCGGUGAAAUGCGUAGAGAUUGGGAAGAACACCGGUGGCGAAAGCGCUCUGCUAGGCCGUAACUGACACUCAUGGACGAAAGCUAGGGGAGCGAAUGGGAUUAGAUACCCCAGUAGUCCUAGCCGUAAACGAUGGAUACUAGGCGUAGCUCGUAUCGACCCGAGCUGUGCCGUAGCUAACGCGNUAA
rnacentral:rRNA from 1 species